rnacentral:rRNA from 1 species
AUUGAACGCUGGCGGCAGGCCUAACACAUGCAAGUCGAGCGGAGAGGCGGACGGGUGGGUAAUGCCUAGGAGUCUGCCUGGUAGUGGGGGAUAACGUCCGGAAACGGGCGCUAAUACCGCCUACUAUCAACUGCGCCUAGGUCGGAUUAGCUCGCUGGUGGGUUAAAGGCCUUACAGUGCGCCGAUCCGUCACUGGUCUGAGAGGAUGAUCAGUCACACGGGACCUGAGACACGGCCCAGACUCCGACGGGAGGCAGCAGUGGGGAAUAUGGGACAAUGGGCGAAAGCCUGAUCCAGCCAUGCCGCGUGGGUGAAGAAGGUCUUAGGAUUGUAAAGCACUGUAAGGUGGGAGGCGUUACCAACAGAAUAAGCACCGGCUAACGGCGUGCCAGCAGCCGCGGUAAUUC